rnacentral:misc_RNA from 1 species
GAUGAAGAACGCAGCGAAAUGCGAUAAGUAAUGUGAAUUGCAGAAUUCAGUGAAUCAUCGAAUCUUUGAACGCACAUUGCGCCCGUCAGUAUUCUGGCGGGCAUGCCUGUUCGAGCGUCAUUACGCCCCUCAAGUCCCCUGUGGACUUGGUGUUGGGGAUCGGCGAGGCUGGUUUUCCAGCACAGCCGUCCCUUAAAUUAAUUGGCGGUCUCGCCGUGGCCCUCCUCUGCGCAGUAGUAAACCACUCGCAACAGGAGCCCGGCGCGGUCCACUGCCGUAAAACCCCCCAACUUUUUAUAGUUGACCUCGAAUCAGGUAGGACUACCCGCUGAACUUAAGCAUAUCAAUAAGCGGAGGA